GACAGAGGGUGCAAACGUUGUUCGGAAUUACUGGGCGUAAAGCGUGUGUAGGCUGCCAUGCAAGUCGGAUGUGAAAGCCCUGGGCUCAACCCAGGAAGUGCACUCGAAACUGCGUGGCUUGAGUACUGGAGAGGUUGGUGGAAUUCUCGGUGUAGAGGUGAAAUUCGUAGAUAUCGAGAGGAACACCGGUGGCGAAGGCGGCCGACUGGACAGAUACUGACGCUGAGGCGCGAAAGCGUGGGGAGCAAACAGG
rnacentral:rRNA from 1 species